ensembl:lncRNA
CAGCUGGUCCGGUCUGGAUCACCCAGGGUUGGAAAGAAAAUCAGCCGAAAACAUAGACACACUCCCAAUUAGCUAACUCAAGUUGAUCUUUUCAGGAAGCUACCAUAUGUGGAAAUGUCCGGAGCAGUUAAAGUGAGCGCUGUUGUUGCUGCAACCGCUACAGGUGCUGUGAAAGUUGUAAGCAUAUCUGUACCAGCAGCAGCAAUUCCGUGGGUGUGCGCCACUGUCAUUGUGCUUGGGGCCUCCUGUAUCAUUUUCCAAGGACUCAAGCGUCUAAACCAGUCAUGUUCCUGAGUGACCCAGAAUGCAAGGAACAGCUAUAUAGAAGAAUUGUGCAUGAUAUAAGAAGGAUUAAAUCAUAUCAAUGAAAUAAUGCAAAUACACACAUAGAAAUAGUUUCUUCUGCUUAUCUUUAAAAAAACCCUCAUUUUCUCUGCUAUAAAAAACUCCUAACAGUUCUGUUUAAAAAUGGAGCAAAAUGGGAGAGUGACCAAGUCAAUUAAAAAAGCAGAAAAGAAUUAUGAUGUCAUACCAAGAAAAGCUUAAGAAAAGCUUAAGCUUAAGCUUUCUUUGUAGGAAAAAGGCAGAAUAUAAAUCGAAAAGAUAAAUAAAUGAUUUAUCUUCACGUCAUUUCUUCAGCCUUGCACAGAGGGGAACCAUGUUGCACAAUGCACAGGAGGAAUGCCAAAACCCAACAGCCAUUUUUCCAUCUGAGCAGCUGAAUUU